GCAUAGUUCAGUUGGUUAAAGCAGAGAACUUCUAAUGCUAAUGUCGUAGGUUUGGUUCCUAGUGCAUC
rnacentral:tRNA from 1 species